UUCACAACAAACUGCAAAUCUCUAAAAUCACUUCCACUUAACGACUAGAAAUGUGUUAACGCUAUAAGGAAGUUACUCAGUUGUCGUCAGAUAAGGUUUAAGACCAUAUAUUUAUAUUACAAAAUAGGUAGCCUACCAGCUAGAAUUACAAGAUGUCACAGGAGUUUCCCCAGUUCCAACCGUGGCAGCCCCAACCCAAACUUGAUGCAGUGGUUGAAGCUCUCUGGCAAACUCUCUGCCCUAAUCACAAAGGCACCUACAACCUGGACCUGUCGUGUCUGUCUUUAAAUAGACCUGACGUUUACGAUGUAUCGCUAGUGACUCAUGCAAUCUACACAAACUACUUCGACCCUAUCACUGAACAUCUGCCAAUGAAAACGUCAGUUAACAGACAGUACUGCAACCUAAGACUGAGCUGCUUCGAUUCGUGGGCAGACACAAAGAUGGAGAGAGAAAGAAUGAGGGACAAGAGACAGCGGAGUCAAAUCCCAGCACAACGCAAUGUGCGGUCCAGCGGACCAUACUUGUCUAGACUCACUCAGUACGGGGCCUCGGGACCUAUGUCCACAAAACAGUACCUAUAUCACAUGUAUGGUUAUAACUGUAGAUGAUGGGGCCUCUUGCACAUGUACUAAUCAUAAACAUACCAAGUAUUACAGUGCAUUGUUUCAUCUCGACUUUGUGUCCUUACUUCCAAAAUUAAGGGCCUAUAUGUUAAUAGGUAUGUGAAUCUGAAUUAGUUUGAAAACAUUUGUGCAGGCAGCCACUCAUCUCUUGUUAAAUAUUAAAGCUCAAUGAGAGCAAAAGCUGCUUGGCCAAA